UCGAUGUAUGGCUUGUGUGGGGCGAGAGGCACAACGUGGAACCGUAAAAGGAUCUGCAAGGGUUUCCCAAACCACACAAGCCAUACAUCGGUUGUAAGUCGCAAAACAACCRAAAUUGUUGUAUUGSUUGGAUGUGGGCGAGAGGCACAACGUGAAUCCGUAAUUGGCCUUGGCGGGUGUCUUUUUAAGCAUCCAAACCAUACAACAAUUGGGGAGGAUUCUUAUGGUGGGUUUCGUUCUCUUCGUAUCGUGC
rnacentral:misc_RNA from 1 species